GUUAAGGAACAUAGGUCGUGUAUCCCUCCGCCACUGCGAUUUCUGCUACUUCCGCGAUUUCUGCUACUUCUGUGACUUCUGCUACUUCUGCGAUUUCUGCUACUUCUGCGAUUUCUGUGACUUCUGCUACUUCUGCGAUUUCUGUGACUCCUGCUACUUCUGCGAUUUCUGCGACUUACUACUGUAUGAAAAAGUUACAUCUGUCAACACGGAAAAUUGCAUCGCAACAAACCUGUCAUUGGCAAGUACCUGAACUACAUUUCAGUCACUCAGUAAAGUGAUAACUGAAAAUAUCAUUGUCAACAGAUCUGAAGAAAUUGCCACUGCAUCUUUAGACCGUUUUCGUCAGACGAGAGACACAGUUCUGACUCUGAUUACUGGUUGCUGUACGUAUCUAUCCACAUCAAGGCUGUUGGGAGGGACUCGUGAAGAUUCAAGACAGCUCUUAGAGGAUUUGCAGUUUAAAAGUGAAACAAUUGUGAAAUAAGUGUGUGAAUGAUUAAGCUGUGUUUUAUCGAAGUUGUUGUGCGAUUUUAAAGGAAUAAUAAAUGUC